rnacentral:tRNA from 1 species
ACAAAAUGUAAUUUACCAUAAAAUAUCUUGCUUACACCAAGAAAAAAUUUGUUACACCAAAUCAUUUUGA